rnacentral:rRNA from 1 species
GAUGAACGCUGGCGGCGUGCCUAAUACAUGCAAGUCGAGCGAACGGACGAGAAGCUUGCUUCUCUGAUGUUAGCGGCGGACGGGUGAGUAACACGUGGAUAACCUACCUAUAAGACUGGGAUAACUUCGGGAAACCGGAGCUAAUACCGGAUAAUAUUUUGAACCGCAUGGUUCAAAAGUGAAAGACGGUCUUGCUGUCACUUAUAGAUGGAUCCGCGCUGCAUUAGCUGGUUGGUAAGGUAACGGCUUACCAAGGCAACGAUGCAUAGCCGACCUGAGAGGGUGGUCGGCCACACUGGAGCUGAGACACGGUCCAGACUCCUACGGGAGGGAGCAGUAGGGAAUCUUCGGCAAUGGGCGAAAGCCUGACGGAGCAACGCCGCGUGAGUGAUGAAGGUCUUCGGAUCGUAAAACUCUGUUAUUAGGGAAGAACAUAUGUGUAAGUAACUGUGCACAUCUUGACGGUACCUAAUCAGAAAGCCACGGCUAACUACGUG